UACGUAGGGCGCAAGCGUUAUCCGGAAUUAUUGGGCGUAAAGAGCUCGUAGGCGGUUUGUCGCGUCUGCCGUGAAAGUCCGGGCUCAACUCCGGAUCUGCGGUGGGUACGGGCAGACUAGAGUGAUGUAGGGGAGACUGGAAUUCCUGGUGUAGCGGUGAAAUGCGCAGAUAUCAGGAGGAACACCGGUGGCGAAGGCGGGUCUCUGGGCCGAUACUGACGCUGAGGAGCGAAAGCGUGGGGGAGCGAACAGG
rnacentral:rRNA from 1 species